ACAGUAUUAAUAGAGGCAUUAUGUAUUAUAUGGAGAAUGAAAAAGUUUCUUCUAGAUUUUCUUAUUUUACACUUUUGUAGUAGCAUAGUAUACACCAUAGCCAUGGAUACAUGGCAUUUUUGUACUUGUAUUUGUAUAUGUCUAUCUUUGAUGUUCUGGAACUUGACAGCACUUCAAAGUAACGACCCCUCCCCUCACAAACUAAUUGAACAGCUUUCUCAUGCAGCUCCCCUGUCCGUGCUUCACUCAACCACUAUCCUUUUUUCGACUCCAGGCUGAAAAGUAAUCCCAUUAUCUCUUAAAAGGUCAACCUAAAGAAGAUUUGAAGUCUGUCUGGAAACCUGAGGGUCCCACUUCUUUACGGAGGCAGGGAGCAUGGAAACCUGGAAAUCUGAAGAAUAAGUUGAUGCACCUGUAUGAGUGAAACCCUGUGAUACAAUGUAACAUCCCAAAUUCCAACCAAGUGAAAGCAGCAUUCAACAGUAGUGUGCAACCUUCUAUCUUCCAAGUUAAAUCAGGCCACAAUAGGACUUCCCCUUUUACAAAUGUCAGAGAAUGAAGCUCUAAAGAGUGAUUUCCAGCUUCCAUUCAAGUGAAAAGUUCAGCUCCCAACAGGACUAGGCAACAUCCACAAAGCAAACCAAGCAAGACCCACGGGACCAAGGCAUUAUCGGGCCUCUCAGGAUGCAGGACACCGCUCCUCCUUCCCUCCAAUCAGAGAAGCUUAAAAAGUGCAGGUUACUCCACAGACCACCAGAAGGUACAGGCAUGGAGAAAAGAGACGCUGCCACUUACACAGAGAAUAAGAGCUCAGCCCAUCCAAAGUGACUCUGCCUAGGCUCCUGUCCAUGCACUUGUCAAAGGCCAGCCCAGCCCAUGGAGGGGGAGAAGAAUUGGAGAGGAUCAGCUUUUUAUUUUCAUGUAAAAAGCACUUGCCCCCGGGUUAUAAAUGUUAUUGCAUUUGUGUAGCACUUUACUGCUGCCCUCAGCUUGCAAGCAUCACAGGACCCCAGUGGCAGUACUUUUAUAACCCUUGAUCAAUAGCUUAUUUCUAUCGCCUUCAGUCCCAGCUGCCAAUCCGUUCUGUAUAAUGUGGAAGGCAGACUUCGCUGCUCUCCAGCUGUACAUGUUAUGAAUGUAAACUCUAAGAGUAACAUAUGUAUGUGUGUGUGUGCAUUGAGUGGGGGACAUGGGAAUUUUGAACAGGGAAUGACAAAAAUGGGCCCCUUGUUCUUGUUCUUGGAGACUACCACAAAGCUGUCUCUUUUACUAAUGAAUCUCU